CACAACAGAUGUGUCCCAGUCCCAGCAAGACCAGCCCCUAGACCAGCCCCAGCAAGACCAGCCCCUAGACCAGCCCCAGCAAGACCAGCCCCUAGACCAGCCCCAGCAAGACCAGCCCCUAGACCAGCUAAUCCCACAAGACCACCAACUGAUUACACUUGAAGUAUGUCCAAUCGUCUCUCAGGCUCAGCAGCAUGUGGAGCUUCUACCACCAAGGAAAAGACAAACCCCACCAUCCAGCCCAGGCCAAGACAGACAAGCCCCACCAUCCAUCCAACCUCAACUAAAGAAAAGACAAACCACAGGUACAGGAGCCACACAAGCCCCACCCUCGACCCUGGCCAAAAAGAAGAAAACAAAAAGUUGCAAAUGCAGUCGACAGACAAUUUAUCCAUAUGAUAAAAUAUUGGAAAGACGGAUGAAUGGGGUAAGAUGUAGAACCAUAUUUUUCAUUAGGCUGUCUGAUUAUCUCAUAUUGUCUCAUCUUUCAAUCCAAAUGUGACAAAACAGAAACUGAGCAGUAGGUAUCAAACUUUUUCAACUAUCAACCCUCUCACAAGAAAAAAAAGUAUACUUCAAGUUAAUUUUAUGAAGUAUACAUUUAACUGUACUUUAACUUUAAUAACAUUUUAUUAGCUUCAUGCUUUCUUUUUUGUCCACACUUGAAUGUCUGUAAGUUUCAUAAAGGCAACAUUUUAAACAAAGAAUUUGAGAAAAUCAAAUUUGUGUUAAAGACUGCGACUUGAUUAGAUUCAGAACGAUGAUCAAGCAGUUUUAAGCAGUUUUGAAUUACAAGCUGUUUAAUAUUUGAUGAUCAUGUUAUUUUACAUUUGUGUGAGUAAUUUACUAUCACUUGGUUCAGCUUUUUCUUCUCGUUUGUUUAGUUUCUGUACUAAAUUAUGUGCCAUAGCGGAUCCUAUCGUAUGACAGUGAAAACAUUGAUAGCUGGAAAAUUCAGUCAAUGGUGGGGAAAGAGUAAAGUACAAUUAAAGUAAAUUCUGAUGUACUGAUGCCAGUGGACUAGCCUAGACAAAAUUUCAGAUAUGCUGAAUAAGAAACAUAUCUGUUUUAUAUCAAUAUUCUAAAUGAUAUUUUCACAAGUUUCAUAAGACUGUAUAUGAAAACUAUGUAAAGAAAAAAAGUUUAUUUAAUAGGCUACUCGAUAAAAACCGUUAACAAAACUAAAAGCCAAUUAUACUUUGAAUACUUAAUUAUACGUUUAAGUAUAUCUCGAUCAAAAGAUAGAGUACAAGUAAAGGCCAAAUAUAAUUGGAACUUUUCUCUCAGUAAUAAGUCAAGUACACUUAAGUGUAAUAAUUGUAUUUCUACAAAGUACAUAAAGUAUAUUUUUGGAGAAUUAUAAAAUUUAAGCAUAAAGUAUACUUUUUUUAUUGUUUGUUUUAAAAUAAGUAUAAUAAUAGAAAACUUGAAUUAACUUAUUUUUUGUAAGGGACAUACUGUAAAUCCUAAACAAAAACAACAAUGCAAAUAGAAUGCAACAGCAUAUUCUUAUUUUUUAUUGAGCUUACAAAAAAUACAUAAGUACUCUUGUCAACUUAAUGAUGUUCCAAGUAAGAACAGCAGUAUAGAGAGCUAAGUAAAAACAUCAUUAUUUGAAUGGUAAAACCAUUACAGUAACUUCACUAAAUUGAUUGUGUGUGUGUGUGGGUGUGGGUGUGUGUGUGUGUGUGGGGUGUGUGUGUGUGUGUGUGUGUGUGCAUGUUUCUGCAGGGGAAGGCAGCAGAGGUGAAAGUGCGUUGGCUACCUUGCUCUUCCUGGUAAGUGAUGGCUGAAUGUAAUUUAGUCAAUAGCUACACAGUCUUAGUGUUUUAAAACCUGGUAACUUUCAGCCUUCAAAGUGAAUUUUGAAGUAAAAGUGGGACCGCUAAUUGUUUUGGCACAAAGAACUAUCUAAGUGAACUGAACUAAACACAUGAGAACAUGUGCACACCAGCCUUCAAGUAGUCAUCUGGCUCAAGUUUGGUCAUAUGACAUCUGAAGCAAAUACAUUCUAACCUGUUUGCCCCAUACAUUUGCUAACUCUGUUUGGGCUAUUUUAUAAAGUGUUUGCUGUACAGUUAGAUAAACAGCAUACAGUUCUUUUUACAAAGUGAAACCUCCCAUUAUGAACCAAAUGUAGUCCAAUUUAAAAGGCCUG
rnacentral:lncRNA from 1 species